rnacentral:rRNA from 1 species
UAUGUGAUCGUCUCUCGCAUAUCAAUAAGCGGAGGAAAAGAGGGCUAUUACCUACGCUUAGGAUGCUGACACACGCGCGUGCUCGGCUCUAUACAUGACUCUGCGCAUAUCAAUAAGCGGAGGAAAAGAAACUAACAAGGAUUCCCCUAGUAACGGCGAGUGAAGCGGGAAGAGCUCAAAUUUGAAAUCUUAAAGGGUUUCCCUUUACGAGUUGUAGUUUAAAGAAGUGUUUUCUGUUGAGGUUUUGGUAAAAGUUCUUUGGAAUAGGACAUCAUAGAGGGUGAGAAUCCCGUAUUUGACCUUUACUUUCAACUUUGUGAUACACUUUCAAAGAGUCGGAUUGUUUGGGAAUGCAGUCCAAAAUGGGUGGUAAAUUUCAUCUAAAGCUAAAUAUUGGCGAGAGACCGAUAGCGAACAAGUACUGUGAGGGAAAGAUGAAAAGAACUUUGAAAAGAGAGUUAAACAGUACGUGAAAUUGUCAAAAGGGAAGCGUUUGACACCAGUGUUGUUUUUCUGAAAAUCAAUUAAAGAACUGUUUAUGCUAAGCUGUUUAGACUUUAUCAGCUAUCUGUUUAGUUUUGAGCUUUUCUUUAAUGCACUUUUCAGUUAACAAGUCAACAUCAAUUUCUUUUGCUGUAAAAAAGCUUGAGGAAGGUGGCUUGAGAUUCGUCUUAAGUGUUUAUAGCCUCUUGCCUAUGCAGUCGGAGAGAUUGAGGUCUGCAGCGUAGAUCCUUCGGGGCUAAAUGCAUUUGUGCUAAGUUAUAGCAUUUUAUAGACAACUUGUUGACUAUGAUUUGUCUUGUAGCUUACUCGCUUAUGUUAUUUUACCUACGCUUAGGAUGUUGAUAUCGCGCUCUCACUG